rnacentral:rRNA from 1 species
GUUAGUAUUUAGUAGAAUAAAUUUAUGUGAAAAGGUAAAUUUACCUUUAGUAUCAGGGAAAUUUAAAAAAUAAAUUUAUUUUUUAUUUCGAAUUUAUUUAGGCUAAGUAUUAAUAAGUGUAUUAGUAUAAUUUAUAGUUUAAAAUAACUUAGAGGUGAAAUUUUUCGAUUAUAAAUUUAUCUAAUUAUCUAUAAAAUAGUUAAUGCUAUAUGUUGUAGAUUUAUUUAAUAAAAAGUUAAGCUUUUUAUUAAAAGUAAAGUUUAAUAGUUAUAAAAAUAAUUAGGCUUUAGAUUAGCCAUAUUAAUAAAUUUUUAUAAAUAAUAUAAUAUAAAAAUAGUGUAUUUACUAGAUUAGGGUAUGAAAAAUAGUAACAAAUUUUUAUUAAUAAUAGGUUUAUGAGUAAUAUUAUAUAAGUAUUUUAUAGGAAUUCAGAAAUUUUUUGAAAGUUUAACAAAAACAUUUUUGUUUUUUUAAGGAUAAGACCUGCCCAGUGAAUAAUUAAACGGCUGCGGUGUUUUAAUCGUACAAAGGUAGCAUAAUCAUUUGUCUUUUAAUUGAGGAUAGGUAUGAAUGGUCAAACAAAUAAUAGUGUCUUUAUUUUAAAUAAUUAAUUUAUAUUUCAAGUAAGAAUACUUGAAAGAAGUAGUGGGACGAUAAGACCCUAAAAGCUUUAUACAAAUUUAUUUAGUUUAUACAAAAAUAUAGAAAUAUUUGACUGGGGUAGUUUUUUUAAAUAUUUUAAGAGUAGAUAAUAUUUGAUUAAAGAGAAGAGGUCCUUCAUAUGAGGAUAAUUAGAGUGAGUUACUUUAGGGGUAACAGCAUAAUUAUUUUGGAGAGAUCUUAUUAAUAGAAUAGAUUGUGACCUCGAUGUUGAAUUAUAAGUUCUUUAUAAGGCAGUACUUAUAAUAGAAGGUUUGUUCAACCUUUAAAAUUUUACGUGAUUUGAGUUCAAAUCGGUUUAAGCCAGAUUGGUUUCUAUCUACUAUAGAAAGAGUAAUAUUUUAGUACGAAAGGGCCAAAUAAUAUUU